AUUUGUAGCAUACAAGGCACACGGCUCAGUAACGCGUAGUCAACCUAACCUAUGGACGGGAAUAGCCUCGGGAAACUGAGAAUAAUGCCCGAUAGAACAUUAUGCCUGGAAUGGUUUAUGUUCCAAAUGAUUUAUCGCCGUAGGAUGGGACUGCGGCCUAUCAGUUUGUUGGUGAGGUAAUGGCCCACCAAGACUAUUACAGGUACGGGCUCUGAGAGGAGUAGCCCGGAGAUGGGUACUGAGACACGGACCCAGGCCCUAUGGGGCGCAGCAGGCGAGAAAACUUUGCAAUGUGCGAAAGCACGACAAGGUUAAUCCGAGUGGUUUCUGCUAAAGAAACCUUUUGUCAGUCCUAGAAACACUGAUGAAUAAGGGGUGGGCAAGUUCUGGUGUCAGCCGCCGCGGUAAAACCAGCACCUCAAGUGGUCAGGAUGAUUAUUGGGCCUAAAGCAUCCGUAGCCGGCUCUGUAAGUUUUCGGUUAAAUCUGUACGCUCAACGUACAGGCUGCCGGGAAUACUGCAGAGCUAGGGAGUGGGAGAGGUAGACGGUACUCGGUAGGAAGGGGUAAAAUCCUUUGAUCUAUUGAUGACCACCUGUGGCGAAGGCGGUCUACCAGAACACGUCCGACGGUGAGGGAUGAAAGCUGGGGGAGCAAACCGGAUUAGAUACCCGGGUAGUCCCAGCUGUAAACUAUGCAAACUCAGUGAUGCAUUGGCUUGUGGCCAAUGCAGUGCUGCAGGGAAGCCGUUAAGUUUGCCGCCUGGGAAGUACGUACGCAAGUAUGAAACUUAAAGGAAUUGGCGGGGGAGCACCACAAGGGGUGAAGCCUGCGGUUCAAUUGGAGUCAACGCCGGA
rnacentral:rRNA from 1 species